GGUGGUUCUCAGGUGAUGCACCCCAGAAUCGGGCUCCCUCCUCUCUGAUUCUGGGGUGUGUCACCGGAGAACCACC
rfam:Myotis brandtii contig238061, whole genome shotgun sequence.